AGUGAACGCUGGCGGUAGGCCUAACACAUGCAAGUCGAACGGCAGCACAGUAAGAGCUUGCUCUUACGGGUGGCGAGUGGCGGACGGGUGAGGAAUACAUCGGGAUCUACUUUUUCGUAGGGGAUAACGUAGGGAAACUUACGCUAAUACCGCAUACGACCUACGGGUGAAAGCAGGGGAUCUUCGGACCUUGCGCGAUUGAAUGAGCCGAUGUCGGAUUAGCUAGUUGGCGGGGUAAAGGCCCACCAAGGCGGCGAUCCGUAGCUGGUCUGAGAGGAUGAUCAGCCACACUGGAACUGAGACACGGUCCAGACUCCUACGGGAGGCAGCAGUGGGGAAUAUUGGACAAUGGGCGCAAGCCUGAUCCAGCCAUACCGCGUGGGUGAAGAAGGCCUUCGGGUUGUAAAGCCCUUUUGUUGGGAAAGAAAAGCAGCAGGUUAAUACCCCGCUGUUCUGACGGUACCCAAAGAAUAAGCACCGGCUAACUUCGUG
rnacentral:rRNA from 1 species